rnacentral:rRNA from 1 species
GACAGAGGGUGCAAACGUUGUUCGGAAUGACUGGGCGUAAGCGCGCGCAGGCGGUCUUCCAAGUCAGUGGUGAAAGCCCGGAGCUCAACUGGGGAGGGUCACGCGAUACUGAUCGACUCGAAGGCAGGAGAGGGAAGCGGAAUUCCCGGUGUAGUGGUGAAAUGCGUAGAUAUCGGUAGGAACACCAGUGGCGAAGGCGACUUCCUGGCCUGUUCUUGACGCUGAGGCGCGAAAGCUAGGGGAGCAACGGG